AUUGAACGCUGGCGGCAGGCCUAACACAUGCAAGUCGAACGGUAACAGGGAUCAGCUUGCUGAUUCGCUGACGAGUGGCGGACGGGUGAGCAAUGUCUGGGAAACUGCCUGAUGGAGGGGGAUAACUACUGGAAACGGUAGCUAAUACCGCAUAACGUCGCAAGACCAAAGAGGGGGACCUUCGGGCCUCUUGCCAUCGGAUGUGCCCAGAUGGGAUUAGCUAGUAGGUGGGGUAACGGCUCACCUAGGCGACGAUCCCUAGCUGGUCUGAGAGGAUGACCAGCCACACUGGAACUGAGACACGGUCCAGACUCCUACGGGAGGCAGCAGUGGGGAAUAUUGCACAAUGGGCGCAAGCCUGAUGCAGCCAUGCCGCGUGUAUGAAGAAGGCCUUCGGGUUGUAAAGUACUUUCAGCGGGGAGGAAGGGAGUAAAGUUAAUACCUUGGCUCAUUGACGUUACCCGCAGAAGAAGCACCGGCUAACUCCGUG
rnacentral:rRNA from 1 species